rnacentral:rRNA from 1 species
CAUGCUAGUUGUGCGGGUUUAGGCCCGCAGCGGAAAGCUCAGUAACACGUGGCCAAACUACCCUGUGGAUGGGAACAAUCUCGGGAAACUGAGGCUAAUUCCCAAUAACGCUCCACCCCUGGAACGGGCGGAGCUGGAAACGCUACGGCGCCACAGGAUGUGGCUGCGGUCGAUUAGGUAGACGGUGGGGUAACGGCCCACCGUGCCAAUAAUCGGUACGGGUUGUGAGAGCAAGAGCCCGGAGACGGAAUCUGAGACAAGAUUCCGGGCCCUACGGGGCGCAGCAGGCGCGAAACCUUUACACUGUACGCAAGUGCGAUAAGGGGACUCCGAGUGUGAAGGCAUAGAGCCUUCACUUUUGUACACCGUAAGGUGGUGUACGAAUAAGGGCUGGGCAAGACCGGUGCCAGCCGCCGCGGUAAUACCGGCAGCCCGAGUGAUGGCCGAUAUUAUUGGGCCUAAAGCGUCCGUAGCUGGCCGGACAAGUCCGUUGGGAAAUCUGUUCGCUUAACGAGCAGGCGUCCAGCGGAAACUGUUCGGCUUGGGACCGGAAGACCUGAGGGGUACGUCCGGGGUAGGAGUGAAAUCCUGUAAUCCUGGACGGACCACCGGUGGCGAAAGCGCCUCAGGAGGACGGAUCCGACAGUGAGGGACGAAAGCUAGGGUCUCGAACCGGAUUAGAUACCCGGGUAGUCCUAGCUGUAAACGAUGCCGCUAG